rnacentral:misc_RNA from 1 species
ACUACAAUAAACAAUGUGCAGCAGUGUAUUAUAAUGAAUUCGUAUUAAUCUUUUAUUAAAAAGAAAAACAUGUAAAUGAAUUAAUCUGAAGAAAAUAAGCAUCUGCAUAAGACACCUGGUGAGACAGAGGCCCGACUUGUUGAUUUCUAAACUGCAGUCUAUAGCCUCCACUACAGCAUUUCUUGUCCAGUUUGUACCAUGAAAACAGAUAGGCAUUUCAACAAACACGUUCUAGGCAUGAAAUUGAAGAAAAUAGAUACGAAUAUGAAAAUAUUUGCAACUUCAAAAGGAUUUUUGUUUGUAACAUAAAGAGUUGGAACUUUCAAGGCAAUCAAAAGGAAUUUUGUUGUAACAUAAAGAUGAAAUAUGGAAUUGGAAUGGGCUGAAAGAUGAAAAGGGAAGAUCUUGUUAAAGAGUUAAAACGUUGAGGCGAAGACAUAAAGGAGAAAGCAUAGCAUCUGAUAACUGAAAGCAGAGGGUUCGAUGGGAGUUAAAAGCC